CAGGCGUGAGCCACCGAGCCCGGCCCACAUUUCUUCUAAUGGUGGGGAGGGAGGGAAACCAGAGACAGUUCACCUCUCUCCGAGAUUGGAGAAAGAGGACUUCUGUGGUUUUACAUCCAAAGAAGAGAAACUGGAGUUGAGAUGUAAUUGAAAGAAUUUGCCCCUGUUGACACACAGUACAGGGCACCCCUGCGCCCCGAACUCCUUUACCUCCCAGGAGAGGUUGAGUUCUGGGUCACCAUCAUCGCCAAAGGAAGAGAUUCCUAGGACAACCCCACAGGCUCCCCAAAGCCCAGCAACUUCAGAAGUCAGAAGGGGCUUCCUUGGGGUCCCUGAUGGUGUGAUCUUUGUAGAAAAAUCACAGUGUCGAAGAGGAAAGUUUUCAUCCUGGCUUUGCUUCUAACUGGCUAUGUGACCUCCUGCAAGUCACUCUGCCUCUCCAGACCACAGAGUCCUCAAAAGAAUGGGGCCAGAAGAGCCCCAAGGCUCCAGUCCAAGUGCCUAGUUCCCUGCUGGCAGGCACUGGGGAGGCGGCUGUGUGCUCUGCUCCACCUGCCUCAGGAGCUCAUGGUCCCAAGGGGGAGAAGACGCUGAACUGACAUCAUGGAAAUCAGUGUUACAAUUAUAAUAGGAGUCAGGAGAAAGAGUGCAGGUGCUGUGAGGAAGUUUAAGCAGCCAGGAGGCUUGCACAGGAAGCAGAUAUUCCAAUAAACAAACCGGGGACAAGCCUGUUGCCCACUCAUUCAUUCAACACACAAUUACUGAAUGCACAUCGGAGCCCCUGGUGAGCAAAACUGCGGCGUCUUCCCCCUGGAACCCACAGUCCAGUGAGGGAGCCAGACAUCAAUGAUAUAAUCGCCCAAUAAUUGCCGCACAAAUAAAGGCAAAAGCACAAAUACGGUUGGAAGUCCUUAAAUCGAGGCAGCAGGAAAGCUGGAGGAGUCUCCUGGAGAGGGCGAGCCCUUCUUCCCCGAAGUGCCAAGACUUGCCUUCGAGCGCGCCCAGGUCGGCGACGCAGCAGAGAACACUGACGCUCGCAAUCCCAUUGCUGGACUCACCUGAGAGCCUCAGGUGCGCGGGCGAGUGGUAGGAGGAGAAGAAAGGAAGGCGGAGUGGAGCGACAGCAGCGGCAGGUGGUGCGCCCAGCCCGUGCCGGGUUGGCUCGCGCGAAGCGAGCGCCGCCGCCGCAGUAUCUGGGCUCAUCUCCCUGCCCCGGAGCCGGGCAACUAUUAAUCUUGGUUGACGGUUUCUAAUGUCCUGGUUGGGAGGCGGGGAGUGCGGCCCAGUCCGCCCUAAAGGUAGAAGUGGUUAAUGGGCCUCUUCAUCACCGCCAGGAGCCGGUACCUUGCGGAGCGCGAGGGGCGCUGCAGCAGUCACCACCACCCUCGCCCCCAUCCUGGCCCAGACUGCUGGGAAAGAAGAGGUGGUCCCACCCAGCCGCGCUGGCGCCACUCCAUGGCCCUCCGCUGGGACCCGCUGCCUCCCGGAGACCGGGCUUCUCUGCGGGUUUGGCUGUCUCCCGUUUGCUGUCAGCUUCUCUCCCGCCCUCUCCCGCCUCCAGCUGCAUCAGAAAUAUAUUGUAUUCUCACCUAAUCCUGUUCAAUUACAGCAUAAUAAAACACAUAAUAAAAACCUAAUUCAUUUUUCUCCUGCGCCCCCCAUCUCCCAGCAUGUUCUUGCUCGGGAUUAAAAAUUUGUCUUCAUGUUUGUGGCACGCAGUCCCAACGCCUCCACAUAUUUAAUGUAUGAGCUGGGGACCCGCGGGCUCUGCGGUCUUUGAGCCGGGACGGCGCCUGCCAGUCACCUGAGGAUGCCGGCAGGAAAGAGGGAGGGGUGUGGACCUGCGUGGAGCCCCAGCGGUGCCCACUCCCCUCCUUCUCCUGGAUGAGGCGCUUGAAGGCCCCGAGGUCUCCAGUGGCGGAGAGAGAUAGCACAUCCUUCCCUUCCAGCAGACCCACAGUAGCUUCCAGUAGUCACAGCUUGGAGCAGGUCCUCGGGGAUCGAGUUGGGGAAAGAGACUCCGCCUACCUGGUGCCGCUCGGCGGGAGAUACAGAG
rnacentral:lncRNA from 10 species